rnacentral:rRNA from 1 species
AUUGAACGCUGGCGGCAGGCCUAACACAUGCAAGUCGAGCGAGAGGCGGACGGGUGAGUAAUGUCUGGGGAACUGCCUGAUGGAGGGGGAUAACUACUGCAGACGCUAGCUAAUACCGCAUACCCUCAGGUGUGGCCAGAUGGGAGUAGCUGGUAGGUGGGGUAACGGCGUAACUAGGAGACGAUCCCUAGCUGGUCUGAGAGGCUGAGCAGCCACACUGGAACUGAGACACGGUCCAGACUCCUACGGUAGGCAGCAGUGGGGAAGAUUGCACAAUGGGCGCAAGCCUGAUGCAGCCAUGCCGCGUGUGUGAAGAAGGCCUUCGGGUUGUAAAGCACUUUAAGCUGGGAGGCGUUACCCGCAGAAGAAGCACCGGCUAACUCCGUGCCAGCAGCCGCGGUAAUAC